AUUCCUACAGGAAAAUGGAUCACAUAAUACUUUGGGAUAACCAGUUACUCAUGUGAAUGGAAAGGACUCUUUUCAGGCUAAUGAAAUGUGAUAUGAACUCUCAUUAAAUAUUUACAACCAUAUAUCAGAUAAUGUUAACUGAAUAUUUGACACAAGUGACAAAGAGUAAUUCAAAUAACCUGAACAAUUAUGAGCUGAAUAACAGAGUGAAGGAAAUUGUUUUUUGGUAUUACAGCUGACGAGUCUGUACAUGAAUAUACCACUCAUUGUUCAUUAUAAAGUGUAACAAGUACUGAUGGAUAAAUUCGUCCAAGAGCAAUUGACUAGAUUGAUUGAAUCAGAUAGCGUUUUUGCUUCAUUCCAAUGGAACAAAAAUCAAGAUCAAAACAUUGUGAAAUUGCAAAAUAUCGUUCACGAGCUAAAGCUAGCCUCUAAGUGAUUUAUCAGAUGCCUAAAA
rnacentral:lncRNA from 1 species